rnacentral:lncRNA from 1 species
CAUUUUGAUGUCUAGAAUCAGGGGAUCCAGGAUCAUCACCAAGGUCAUUUUCCCAGACAGAUGUGCUGAGGCUGUAGAAAGUGCUUUUUAUUUGGUUGGGAGCUUGUGCAUAAAUGCGAGAGGGGCUGCACAUCUGACGGACUAGAGGUGACUCAUGGCUGAACCGGAACAGGACAUCGGGGAGAAGCCAGCAGAGCUUGUGUUUAAAGUCAGAAUUCAGAACCCCAAAGAAAAUGACUUCAUUGAAAUUGAACUGAAGAGACAAGAACUGAGUUACCAAAACCUACUAAACGUGAGUUGCUGUGAACUGGGGAUUAAACCAGAACGAGUGGAGAAGAUCAGAAAGCUACCAAACACACUGCUCAGAAAGGACAAAGACAUUCGAAGACUGCGGGACUUUCAGGAAGUGGAACUCAUUUUAAUGAAAAAUGGAAGCUCCAGAUUGACAGAAUAUGUGCCAUCUCUGACAGAAAGGCCCUGCUAUGAUAGCAAAGCUGCAAAAAUGACUUAUUAAAUACUCCCAGGAAUGGCCGCGCAUGGUGGCUCACCCCCUGUAAUCCCAGCACUUUAGGAAGCCAAGGUGGGCAGAUCACCUGAGGUCAGGAGUUCUAGACCAGCCUGGCCAACAUAUAGUGAAACCCAGUCUCUACUAAAAAAAAUACAAAAAUUAGCUAGGUGUGGUGGCGCACACCUGUAGUAGUCCCAGCUACAUGGGAAGCUGAGGCAGGAGAAUCACCUGAACCCAGGAGGCAGAGGUUGCAGUGAGCUGAGAUUGCGCCACUGCACUCCAG